GCGGUGAAAUGCGUAGAGACUGGAGGAAUACCGGUGGCGAAGGCGGCCCCCUGGACAAAGACUGACGCUCAGGUGCGAAAGCGUCGGGAGCAAACAGGAUUAGAUACCCUGGUAGUCCACGCCGUAAACGAUGUCGUUUGGAGGCUGUGUCCUUGAGACGUGGCUUCCGGAGCUAACGCGUUAAAUCGACCGCCUGGGGAGUACGGCCGCAAGGUUAAAACUCAAAUGAAUUGACGGGGGCCCGCACAAGCGGUGGAGCAUGUGGUUUAAUUCGAUGCAACGCGAAGAACCUUACCUGGCCUUGACAUGUCUGGAAUCUGCAGAGAUGCGGGAGUGCCUUCGGGAAUCAGAACACAGGUGCUGCAUGGCUGUCGUCAGCUCGUGUCGUGAGAUGUUGGGUUAAGUCCGCAACGAGCGCAACCCCUGUCCUUUGUUGCCAGCACGUAAUGGUGGGAACUCAAGGGAGACUGCCGGUGAUAAACCGGAGGAAGGUGGGGAUGACGUAAGUCAUCAUGGCCCUUACGGCCAGGGCUACACACGUGCUACAAUGGCGCGUACAGAGGGCUGCAAGCUAGCGAUAGUGAGCGAAUCCCAAAAAGCGCGUCGUAGUCCGGAUCGGAGUCUGCAACUCGACUCCGUGAAGUCGGAAUCGCUAGUAAUCGCAAAUCAGAAUGUUGCGGUGAAUCGUUCCCGGGCCUUGUACACACCGCCCGUCACACCAUGGGAGUGGGUUGCACCAGAAGUAGAUAGCUUAACCUUCGGGAGGGCGUUACC
rnacentral:rRNA from 1 species